rnacentral:rRNA from 1 species
CUUAAGUGGGGAAUAACGCAUCGAAAGUUGCGCUAAUACCGCAUACGUUCUACGGAAGAAAGUGGGGGAUCUUCGGACCUCAUGCUUUUGGAGCGGCCGAUGUCUGAUUAGCUAGUUGGUGGGGUAAAGGCUCACCAAGGCGACGAUCAGUAGCUGGUCUGAGAGGACGACCAGCCACACUGGAACUGAGACACGGUCCAGACUCCUACGGGAGGCAGCAGUGGGGAAUUUUGGACAAUGGGCGCAAGCCUGAUCCAGCAAUGCCGCGUGAGUGAAGAAGGCCUUCGGGUUGUAAAGCUCUUUUGUCAGGGAAGAAACGGCUCUAGCUAAUAUCUGGGGCUAAUGACGGUACCUGAAGAAUAAGCACCGGCUAACUACGUGCCAGCAGCCGCGGUAAUACGUAGGGUGCAAGCGUUAAUCGGAAUUACUGGGCGUAAAGCGUGCGCAGGCGGUUUUGUAAGUCUGUCGUGAAAGCCCCGGGCUCAACCUGGGAAUUGCGAUGGAGACUGCAAGGCUUGAAUCUGGCAGAGGGGGGUAGAAUUCCACGUGUAGCAGUGAAAUGCGUAGAGAUGUGGAGGAACACCGAUGGCGAAGGCAGCCCCCUGGGUCAAGAUUGACGCUCAUGCACGAAAGCGUGGGGAGCAAACAGGAUUAGAUACCCUGGUAGUCCACGCCCUAAACGAUGUCUACUAGUUGUCGGGUUUUAAUUAACUUGGUAACGCAGCUAACGCGUGAAGUAGACCGCCUGGGGAGUACGGUCGCAAGAUUAAAACUCAAAGGAAUUGACGGGGACCCGCACAAGCGGUGGAUGAUGUGGAUUAAUUCGAUGCAACGCGAAAAACCUUACCUACCCUUGACAUGGAAGGAAUCCUGAAGAGAUUUGGGAGUGCCCGAAAGGGAACCUUCACACAGGUGCUGCAUGGCUGUCGUCAGCUCGUGUCGUGAGAUGUUGGGUUAAGUCCCGCAACGAGCGCAACCC